GCUGGCGGUAGGCCUAACACAUGCAAGUCGAACGGCAGCACAGUAAGAGCUUGCUCUUAUGGGUGGCGAGUGGCGGACGGGUGAGGAAUACAUCGGAAUCUACUUUUUCGUGGGGGAUAACGUAGGGAAACUUACGCUAAUACCGCAUACGACCUUCGGGUGAAAGCAGGGGACCUUCGGGCCUUGCGCGAUUGAAUGAGCCGAUGUCGGAUUAGCUAGUUGGCGGGGUAAAGGCCCACCAAGGCGACGAUCCGUAGCUGGUCUGAGAGGAUGAUCAGCCACACUGGAACUGAGACACGGUCCAGACUCCUACGGGAGGCAGCAGUGGGGAAUAUUGGACAAUGGGCGCAAGCCUGAUCCAGCCAUACCGCGUGGGUGAAGAAGGCCUUCGGGUUGUAAAGCCCUUUUGUUGGGAAAGAAAAGCAGCGGGCUAAUACCUUGCUGUUCUGACGGUACCCAAAGAAUAAGCACCGGCUAACUUCGUGCCAGCAGCCGCGGUAAUACGAAGGGUGCAAGCGUUACUCGGAAUUACUGGGCGUAAAGCGUGCGUAGGUGGUUGUUUAAGUCUGUUGUGAAAGCCCUGGGCUCAACCUGGGAACUGCAGUGGAAACUGGAUGACUAGAGUGUGGUAGAGGGUAGCGGAAUUCCCGGUGUAGCAGUGAAAUGCGUAGAGAUCGGGAGGAACAUCCAUGGCGAAGGCAGCUACCNGGACCAA
rnacentral:rRNA from 1 species